rnacentral:rRNA from 1 species
GAUGAACGCUGGCGGCGUGCCUAAUACAUGCAAGUCGAGCGAACGGACGAGAAGCUUGCUUCUCUGAUGUUAGCGGCGGACGGGUGAGUAACACGUGGAUAACCUACCUAUAAGACUGGGAUAACUUCGGGAAACCGGAGCUAAUACCGGAUAAUAUUUUGAACCGCAUGGUUCAAAAGUGAAAGACGGUCUUGCUGUCACUUAUAGAUGGAUCCGCGCUGCAUUAGCUAGUUGGUAAGGUAACGGCUUACCAAGGCAACGAUGCAUAGCCGACCUGAGAGGGUGAUCGGCCACACUGGAACUGAGACACGGUCCAGACUCCUACGGGAGGCAGCAGUAGGGAAUCUUCCGCAAUGGGCGAAAGCCUGACGGAGCAACGCCGCGUGAGUGAUGAAGGUCUUCGGAUCGUAAAACUCUGUUAUUAGGGAAGAACAUAUGUGUAAGUAACUGUGCACAUCUUGACGGUACCUAAUCAGAAAGCCACGGCUAACUACGUGCCAGCAGCCGCGGUAAUACGUAGGUGGCAAGCGUUAUCCGGAAUUAUUGGGCGUAAAGCGCGCGUAGGCGGUUUUUUAAGUCUGAUGUGAAAGCCCACGGCUCAACCGUGGAGGGUCAUUGGAAACUGGAAAACUUGAGUGCAGAAGAGGAAAGUGGAAUUCCAUGUGUAGCGGUGAAAUGCGCAGAGAUGUGGAGGAACACCAGUGGCGAAGGCGACUUUCUGGUCUGUAACUGACGCUGAUGUGCGAAAGCGUGGGGAUCAAACAGGAUUAGAUACCCUGGUAGCCCACGCCGUAAACGAUGAGUGCUAAGUGUUAGGGGGUUUCCGCCCCUUAGUGCUGCAGCUAACGCAUUAAGCACUCCGCCUGGGGAGUACGACCGCAAGGUUGAAACUCAAAGGAAUUGACGGGGACCCGCACAAGCGGUGGAGCAUGUGGUUUAAUUCGAAGCAACGCGAAGAACCUUACCAAAUCUUGACAUCCUUUGACAACUCUAGAGAUAGAGCCUUCCCCUUCGGGGGACAAAGUGACAGGUGGUGCAUGGUUGUCGUCAGCUCGUGUCGUGAGAUGUUGGGUUAAGUCCCGCAACGAGCGCAACCCUUAAGCUUAGUUGCCAUCAUUAAGUUGGGCACUCUAAGUUGACCGCCGGUGACAAACCGGAGGAAGGUGGGGAUGACGUCAAAUCAUCAUGCCCCUUAUGAUUUGGGCUACACACGUGCUACAAUGGACAAUACAAAGGGCAGCGAAACCGCGAGGUCAAGCAAAUCCCAUAAAGUUGUUCUCAGUUCGGAUUGUAGUCUGCAACUCGACUACAUGAAGCUGGAAUCGCUAGUAAUCGUAGAUCAGCAUGCUACGGUGAAUACGUUCCCGGGUCU